rnacentral:rRNA from 1 species
AGCGAACGCUGGCGGCAUGCUUUACACAUGCAAGUCGAACGGUAACAGGCCGCAAGGUGCUGACGAGUGGCGAACGGGUGAGUAAUGCAUCGGAACGUGCCCAGUCGUGGGGGAUAACGCAGCGAAAGCUGUGCUAAUACCGCAUACGAUCUAUGGAUGAAAGCGGGGGACCGUAAGGCCUCGCGCGAUUGGAGCGGCCGAUGUCAGAUUAGGUAGUUGGUGGGGUAAAGGCCUACCAAGCCGACGAUCUGUAGCUGGUCUGAGAGGACGACCAGCCACACUGGGACUGAGACACGGCCCAGACUCCUACGGGAGGCAGCAGUGGGGAAUUUUGGACAAUGGGCGCAAGCCUGAUCCAGCAAUGCCGCGUGCAGGAAGAAGGCCUUCGGGUUGUAAACUGCUUUUGUACGGAACGAAACGGUCUGGGUUAAUACCCUGGGCUAAUGACGGUACCGUAAGAAUAAGCACCGGCUAACUACGUGCCAGCCGCCGCGGUAAGAC